GGUGAACGCUGGCGGCGUGCUUAAGACAUGCAAGUCGAACGGCAGUCUUCGGACUGUAGUGGCGCACGGGUGAGUAACGCGUAACUGACCUACCCCAAGGUCGCGGAUAACGAUUCGAAAGAAUCGCUAAUACGUGAUGUGCUGUCAGAUUGUGUUCUGCCAGUAAAGAUUGAUUGCUUUGGGAUGGGGUUGCGUUCCAUCAGCUAGUUGGUGGGGUAAAGGCCCACCGAGGCGACGACGGAUAGCCGGCCUGAGAGGGUGGCCGGCCACAGGGGCACUGAGACACGGGUCCCACUCCUACGGGAGGCAGCAGUUAGGAAUCUUCCACAAUGGGCGAAAGCCUGAUGGAGCGACGCCGCGUGAGGUAUGAAGGUCUUCGGAUCGUAAACCUCUGAAUCAGGGACGAAAGACACUUCGGUGGGAUGACGGUACCUGAGUAAUAGCACCGGCUAACUCCGUGCCAGCAGCCGCCGUAACAC
rnacentral:rRNA from 1 species